CGGACACUAAUGUUUUUGUCACUUUUUAUGGAAUCAAACUCAAAAUAAGGCAGCAGCUGCUCUCUAACAGAAGAGGAAGGGAGGACACCCUGACUUAUUUUUAUGAAAACUGCCCACUGGCUUUUUUUUCCUCCCACCAAUCAGGAUGGAAACACCCCACAGUUGAGUUCAGCAAGCUCGCCAACUUCAAAGAUUUCAGGGAUGUUUUCCAUUUUCCUGUGAGGUGCAUUGCUCUUCAUAAUUAUUUCAAACCACUGUACACCCUGUGCAUUAAACAGACCAUAAAAAUGCAAGUUAAGCAGGUAUUCCAGACUUUGUCCUCCCCAGCAACGUUUUCCAGUUCUUCCUGGGGAUCCCGAGGUGCUUCCAGGCUCCUUUAGAGGGCCAGCUGAUAGUUCAAGACAUGCUAAUCUUAAAAAGAUACAAGACAGACUGAGGAUAAUGGAACAUGGUGGUAUUUUAUUUUAAAAAAUCUAUAUUAAAAUAAAUGAGCGAUGCAAAAUUUAAACAGCCAUAAUUUUACACAGUAGCAGUGUCACUCCCCACCGUCCUCUGCCAGCCUUUUUCACAGCAACCUUUCUGCUUCCGAACGAGGCGUCGCCAAGAAGCCGCCUCUCAGUUUUGGUUCAUUUUUCCUUUUUUUUUCUUUUUGAAAUGGGUUUCGUUUGUCCCCUUGGUGUAUUCUGACUCCAAAAUUUAGCAAAAAGACUGCAUAAUGGGAUAAA